rnacentral:rRNA from 1 species
UACGUAGGGCCCGAGCGUUAUCCGGUAUUACUGGGCGUAAAGGGCUCGUAGGUGGCCAACUAAGUCAGACGUGAAAUCCCUCGGCUUAACCGGGGAACUGCGUCUGAUACUGGAUGGCUUGAGUUUGGGAGAGGGACGCGGAAUUCCAGGUGUAGCGGUGAAAUGCGUAGAUAUCGGGAGGAAUACCAGUGGCGAAGGCGGCUGCCUGGCCUGUUCUUGACGCUGAGGCGCGAAAGCUGGGGGAGCAAACGGG